GAGCAAAAUGAUUGUGAUGAAAAAAAAAGUGUGUGUGUGUCAGCUCCGACGCACGACUGGAGUUUACUCCUUACGAAGGAUAAUUAUGAUAUAUAUCGAAUAGAAAAAGAGGCAUGCAUACCCUGUACUCGGCGGCAGCAUGUAAGUUACGGCAGAACUUCGUAAUACGCAGGCACAUAACACACACGUACAAACAUACGCACUCAUUCAACUCUCAGCCAGAGGUAGUGAACUCGAACAGUGAGACUACGAAGCAUCGUACAAAGAGGAGACCCCGAGUAUAGGAUACGCUAUUAUCAUGGUUUCUAAAUGCAGUUUUGAAGUGCGUUACAAUUACGUUCUCGACAACUGAGCCCGAGGAGGAUAUCUUGAACUGAGUCAUGUGUUUAUAGGGUGUAUUCCGAAAUAUUGUGAUAUCGACGGUACCUAGUGGAAAUUUCCACAUGCUAGACACUGGAAUCGUUCACACAGCUGCAGCUAGACUCUCAGUAGUUUGGGUCACCAAUUACCAAUAAAGUAUAGAAAUACACCGGACAACGGUCAUUCUAUCGCUCCAAUCGAACGAACCGAGGAAGGAGUAAUUGUUGGAUGAAAGAUUUAAUUAAUUGGCUUACCUUUUGAGAAUAAUCUGGAUAUGAUGAAUUGCAGCGUAGAUUGGUAAUAUAUUAAUAUAUUCGGACAUAGUUGCUAUUUGCUUAAUAUUAUUAGGAUUGCGCUGCUGCGAGUAUUCUUAGGUGUUUGUGUUAUAACAAUCUUAACAGAUUUAGGGUAUUUAACAAUUUGAUAAUUCGUAGUUUUAGAGUAGGUUUACAUGUGUGCUUUCGUAUAAUUCUCUUCUGUAAUUAUUGAUUCUUAUAUUGAUAUAGAUCGGCUUGGAAGGUAUUAGAGCGUUGUUCUUAUGUUUGUUGGUUGCCUGAUACUGGGCGUUGCCACGUAUCACGGUCUUACAUACAUGUCUUGCAACUCUGGUGGUGGGGGUGACUCACUUCUUGAGUCCGCUUUCUAUAAUUCUUAGAUUGGCCGCAAGGGUUGCUGUAACCUAGUAGGGUCACCCGUGUCACUUGUGAGCGACAGAGAUAGAAAAAAUUUCUCUCUGUUGGCGCAAGC